AGCUUAUAAAGAGCGUAGCACUGAAGAUGCUAAGGAAAUGUGAUAUUUUUAAGUAU
rnacentral:tRNA from 1 species